rnacentral:rRNA from 1 species
CAGCCGCCGCGGUAAUACGAAGGGGGCUAGCGUUGCUCGGAAUUACUGGGCGUAAAGGGAGCGUAGGCGGAUCGUUUAGUCAGGGGUGAAAUCCCGGGGCUCAACCUCGGAACUGCCUUUGAUACUGGCGAUCUUGAGUAUGGGAGAGGUGUGUGGAACUCCGAGUGUAGAGGUGAAAUUCGUAGAUAUUCGGAAGAACACCAGUGGCGAAGGCGACACACUGGCCCAUUACUGACGCUGAGGCUCGAAAGCGUGGGGAGCAAACAGGAUUAGAUACCCGCGUAGUCCCUGUCUCUUAUAA